rnacentral:rRNA from 1 species
UACGUAGGGUGCGAGCGUUGUCCGGAAUUACUGGGCGUAAAGCGUGCGCAGGCGGUUCGCUAAGACAGAUGUGAAAUCCCCGGGCUUAACCUGGGAACUGCAUUUGUGACUGCACGGCUGGAGUGCGGCAGAGGGGGAUGGAAUUCCGCGUGUAGCAGUGAAAUGCGUAGAUAUGCGGAGGAACACCGAUGGCGAAGGCGGCUCACUGGCCCGGUACUGACGCUGAGGUGCGAAAGCGUGGGGAGCAAACAGG